rnacentral:rRNA from 1 species
CAAUAGCGUAUAUUAAAGUUGUUGCGGUAAAAAAGCUCGUAGUUGGACUUCUGUUGAGAGAUACCGGUCCAUGCAACGCAUGCGUAUUUGGUAAGUCUCGGCAUCCUCUCGAAAAACUUCUUUGCGCUUGAUUGCGUGAAAAGAGUUUCGGGACUUUUACUUUGAGGAAAUUAGAGUGUUCACGGCAGGCCAUCGCCAGGAUACAUUAGCAUGGAAUAAUACUAUAGGAUCUUGAUCCUAUUUUGUUGGUUUCUAGGAUUAAGAUAAUGAUUAAUAGGGACAAUUGGGGGCAUUCGUAUCAACACGUCAGAGGUGAAAUUCUUGGAUUGUGUUGCGACGAACUACUGCGAAAGCAUUUGCCAAGGAUGUUUUCAUUGA